GACGAACGCUGGCGGCGUGCCUAAUACAUGCAAGUGGGACGCAAGGGAACACACUGUGCUUGCACACCGUGUUUUCUUGAGUCGCGAACGGGUGAGUAACGCGUAGGUAACCUGCCUAUUAGCGGGGGAUAACUAUUGGAAACGAUAGCUAAUACCGCAUAAUAUUAAUUAUUGCAUGAUAAUUGAUUAAAAGAUGCAAGCGCAUCACUAGUAGAUGGACCUGCGUUGUAUUAGCUAGUUGGUAAGGUAAGAGCUUACCAAGGCGACGAUACAUAGCCGACCUGAGAGGGUGAUCGGCCACACUGGGACUGAGACACGGCCCAGACUCCUACGGGAGGCAGCAGUAGGGAAUCUUCGGCAAUGGACGAAAGUCUGACCGAGCAACGCCGCGUGAGUGAAGAGGGUUUUCGGAUCGUAAAGCUCUGUUGUAAGUCAAGAACGUGUGUGAGAGUGGAAAGUUCACACAGUGACGGUAGG
rnacentral:rRNA from 1 species